rnacentral:rRNA from 1 species
UGGGCGUCGAGCGGCGGACGGGUGAGUAAUGCCUAGGAAAUUGCCUUGAUGUGGGGGAUAACCAUUGGAAACGAUGGCUAAUACCGCAUAAUGCCUACGGGCCAAAGAGGGGGAUCUUCGGACCUCUCGCGUCAAGAUAUGCCUAGGUGGGAUUAGCUAGUUGGUGAGGUAAUGGCUCACCAAGGCGACGAUCCCUAGCUGGUCUGAGAGGAUGAUCAGCCACACUGGAACUGAGACACGGUCCAGACUCCUACGGGAGGCAGCAGUGGGGAAUAUUGCACAAUGGGCGAAAGCCUGAUGCAGCCAUGCCGCGUGUAUGAAGAAGGCCUUCGGGUUGUAAAGUACUUUCAGUUGUGAGGAAGGGGGU